GAUGAACGCUGGCGGCGUGCCUAAUACAUGCAAGUCGAACGAGGGAUCGCAAGAUCCCGAGUGGCGAACGGGUGAGUAACGCGUUGGUGACCUGCCCCGAAGCGGGGGAUACCAGACCGAAAGGUCUGCUAAUACCGCAUGACCCAAUGGGAGAUUAGAAGCUUGUUGGGAAAGCCGAAAGGCGCUUUGGGAGGGCCUGCGACCCAUCAGCUAGUUGGUAAGGUAACGGCUUACCAAGGCGAUGACGGGUAGGGGACCUGAGAGGGUGAUCCCCCACAAUGGAACUGAAACACGGUCCAUACACCUACGGGUGGCAG
rnacentral:rRNA from 1 species